rnacentral:rRNA from 1 species
CCUACGGGUGGCAGCAGUAGGGAAUCUUGCGCAAUGGGCGAAAGCCUGACGCAGCAACUCCGCGUGCGGGAAGAAGGCCUUCGGGUUGUAAACCGCUUUUGGCAGGAACGAAAAUGACGGUACCUGCAGAAGAAGGUGCGGCCAACUACGUGCCAGCAGCCGCGGUGACACGUAGGCACCAAGCGUUGUCCGGAUUUAUUGGGCGUAAAGAGCUCGUAGGCGGUUCAGUAAGUCGGGUGUGAAAACUCAGGGCUUAACCCUGAGACGCCACUCGAUACUGCUGGGCUAGAAUUCGGUAGGGGAGUGGGGAAUUCCUGGUGUAGCGGUGAAAUGCGCAGAUAUCAGGAGGAACACCGGUGGCGAAGGCGCCACUCUGGGCCGACAUUGACGCUGAGGAGCGAAAGCGUGGGUAGCAAACAGGAUUAGAUACCCCAGUAGUC